rnacentral:lncRNA from 1 species
ACAUAUGCAUUUUUGCCAUUAAAAAAAACACCACUUAGGAAUUUUAACAUGUUUUUUUAUGUCUUGGUCUGUUGGCUGUUUAUUGCUAACCUAAGCAAUUUUAUUUUGAUUUCGUCAGAACUCAUGGAACGGAAGUUUGCUGUGGUGAGGUGGAAUGAAGGAGAGGAUGCUGGGAAGUUAAGUGAAGUCAAGACUGAGACCAUCCGGGCAUAUGACGAUUCCAAAAUGGACCAACAUGGGAAUCCCAUUGUUGCGUAUUCAGCUAUUGUGGAAUGGCGCCAUGGGAAACCGCGAGGAGGAUGGCCUCACUACAGAGGCACUGUGCUGUUUGUCAGCGCAACUCGUUUUGAGGCAACCCGUAAAAUUAACUUGCUGCUGAAGACUGAUGAACCUCUUGAACUGACCAAGAGGAAAUCGGUCCUGCCUCAAAAAUAUCAAGAUGAGUCAGAUAACUCGACCGACACUGACAGUCAGAUUCUUACUCAGUCGUUACAUGUCAAGAAGUCAAAGGUACAGAAAAGAAAAGACCCUGCUGAAGACUUUCUUGAGAUGUACUGUCAUCCAAAAACAAGUUCAAGGGAUAGAAAUCCAGAAAAGACAGUAUCUGAAUUAAUGCAGGAGAUCAAGGAGCUGAAAGAGGAGAACGCUAACUUGAAGGAGAUGGUUGUUCAAGAUAUACCAGAACUCAUGAACACCAUGAAAAAUGUAAUUAAGUCGGUUGUACCUACUAAGCGAUCCAGGCUUGAGCUUAAUACACCACCGAUGCCCCCCCCAGAGUUUUAG